GAUGAAGAACGCAGCGAAAUGCGAUAAGUAAUGUGAAUUGCAGAAUUCAGUGAAUCAUCGAAUCUUUGAACGCACAUUGCGCCCCUUGGUAUUCCGAGGGGCAUGCCUGUUCGAGCGUCAUUAUAACCCCUCAAGCUCAGCUUGGUGUUAGGGCCUGCUGCACUGGCAGCCCUUAAAAUCAGUGGCGGCGCCAUCUGGCUCUAAGCGUAGUAAUUCUUCUCGCUAUGGAGUCCUGGUGGAUGCUUGCCAUCAACCCCCAAUUUUUCUAUGGUUGACCUCGGAUCAGGUAGGGAUACCCGCUGAACUUAAGCAUAUCAAUAAGCGGAGGA
rnacentral:misc_RNA from 1 species